rnacentral:rRNA from 1 species
AUUGAACGCUGGCGGCAGGCCUAACACAUGAAAGUCGAGCGGGGUUUUCGGACCUAGCGGCGGACGGGUGAGUAAUGCGUAGGAAGCUACCCGAUAGAGGGGGAUACCAGUUGGAAACGACUGUUAAUACCGCAUAAUGUCUACGGACCAAAGUGUGGGACCUUCGGGCCACAUGCUAUCGGAUGCGCCUACGUGGGAUUAGCUAGUUGGUGAGGUAAUGGCUCACCAAGGCGACGAUCACUAGCUGGUUUGAGAGGAUGAGCAGCCACACUGGAACAGAGACACGGUCCAGACUCCUACGGGAGGCAGCAGUGGGGAAUAUUGGACAAUGGGCGCAAGCCUGAUCCAGCCAUGCCGCGUGUGUGAAGAAGGCCUUCGGGUUGUAAAGCACUUUCAGUAGGGAGGAAGCGUUGUGUGUUAAUAGUACACAGCGUUGACGUUACCUACAGAAGAAGCACCGGCUAACUCUGUGCCAGCCGCCGCCGUAACAC